GAGAUUCUUCGGAAUCUUGAGAGCGGCGCACGGGUGCGGAACACGUGUGCAACCUGCCUUUAUCAGGGGAAUAGCCUUUCGAAAGGAAGAUUAAUGUCCCAUAAUAUAUUUUCUGGCAUCAGAAUAUAUUGAAAACUCCGGUGGAUAAAGAUGGGCACGCGCAGGAUUAGAUAGUUGGUAGGGUAACGGCCUACCAAGUCAACGAUCCUUAGGGGGCCUGAGAGGGUGAUCCCCCACACUGGUACUGAGACACGGACCAGACUCCUACGGGAGGCAGCAGUGAGGAAUAUUGGACAAUGGGUGAGAGCCUGAUCCAGCCAUCCCGCGUGAAGGACGACGGCCCUAUGGGUUGUAAACUUCUUUUGUACAGGGAUAAACCUUUCCACGUGUGGGAAGCUGAAGGUACUGUACGAAUAAGCACCGGCUAACUCCGUGCCAGCAGCCGCGGUAAUACGGAGGGUGCAAGCGUUAUCCGGAUUUAUUGGGUUUAAAGGGUCCGUAGGCGGACUCGUAAGUCAGUGGUGAAAUCUCACAGCUUAACUGUGAAACUGCCAUUGAUACUGCGGGUCUUGAGUGUUGUUGAAGUAGCUGGAAUAAGUAGUGUAGCGGUGAAAUGCAUAGAUAUUACUUAGAACACCAAUUGCGAAGGCAGGUUACUAAGCAACAACUGACGCUGAUGGACGAAAGCGUGGGGAGCGAACAGGAUUAGAUACCCUGGUAGUCCACGCCGUAAACGAUGCUAACUCGUUUUUGGGUCUUUAAGAUUCAGAGACUAAGCGAAAGUGAUAAGUUAGCCACCUGGGGAGUACGUUCGCAAGAAUGAAACUCAAAGGAAUUGACGGGGGCCCGCACAAGCGGUGGAUUAUGUGGUUUAAUUCGAUGAUACGCGAGGAACCUUACCAAGGCUUAAAUGGGAAUUGAUGGGUUUAGAAAUAGACCGUCCUUCGGGCAAUUUUCAAGGUGCUGCAUGGUUGUCGUCAGCUCGUGCCGUGAGGUGUUAGGUUAAGUCCUGCAACGAGCGCAACCCCUGUCACUAGUUGCCAUCAUUCAGUUGGGGACUCUAGUGAGACUGCCUACGCAAGUAGAGAGGAAGGUGGGGAUGACGUCAAAUCAUCACGGCCCUUACGCCUUGGGCCACACACGUAAUACAAUGGCCGGUACAGAGGGCAGCUACACAGCGAUGUGAUGCAAAUCUCGAAAGCCGGUCUCAGUUCGGAUUGGAGGGGGUACUUGGGUGUAGGUACCAGUCCCGUAUCAGCCGAAACCAAUA
rnacentral:rRNA from 1 species